GAUGAAGAACGUAGCGAAAUGCGAUAAGUAAUGUGAAUUGCAGAAUUCAGUGAAUCAUCGAAUCUUUGAACGCACAUUGCGCCCGCCAGUAUUCUGGCGGGCAUGCCUGUUCGAGCGUCAUUUCAACCAUCAAGCCCCCGGCUUGUGUUGGGGACCUGCGGCUGCCGCAGGCCCUGAAAACCAGUGGCGGGCUCGCUAGUCACUCCGAGCGUAGUAAUACAUCUCGCUCAGGGCGUGCUGCGGGUUCCGGCCGUUAAAAAGCCUUAUUUACCCAAGGUUGACCUCGGAUCAGGUAGGAAGACCCGCUGAACUUAAGCAUAUCAAUAAGCGAAGGA
rnacentral:misc_RNA from 1 species